rnacentral:rRNA from 1 species
AACAAACGCUGGCGGCAGGCUUAACACAUGCAAGUCGAGCGCCCCGCAAGGGGAGCGGCAGACGGGUGAGUAACGCGUGGGAAUCUACCCAUCUCUACGGAAUAACGCAUGGAAACGUGUGCUAAUACCGUAUACGUCCUUCGGGAGAAAGAUUUAUCGGAGAUGGAUGAGCCCGCGUUGGAUUAGCUAGUUGGUGGGGUAAAGGCCUACCAAGGCGACGAUCCAUAGCUGGUCUGAAAGGAUGAUCAGCCACACUGGGACUGGGACACGGCCCAGACUCCUACGGGAGGCAGCAGUGGGGAAUAUUGGACAAUGGGCGCAAGCCUGAUCCAGCCAUGCCGCGUGAGUGAUGAAGGCCCUAGGGUUGUAAAGCUCUUUCACCGGUGAAGAUAAUGACGGUAACCGGAGAAGAAGCCCCGGCUAACUUCGUGCCAGCCGCCGCGGUAACAC